UACGUAGGGGGCUAGCGUUGUCCGGAUUUAUUGGGCGUAAAGAGCGUGUAGGCGGCCUGGUAGGUCUGCUGUGAAAACUCGAGGCUCAACCUCGAGAUGUCGGCGGAAACCAUCUGGCUAGAGUCCGGAAGAGGAGAAUGGAAUUCCCGGUGUAGCGGUGAAAUGCGCAGAUAUCGGGAAGAACACCCGUGGCGAAGGCGGUUCUCUGGGACGGUACUGACGCUGAGACGCGAAAGCGUGGGGAGCGAACAGGG
rnacentral:rRNA from 1 species